GCACAAGCGGUGGAUGAUUGUGGUUUAAUUCGAUGCAACGCGAAAAACCUUACCCACCUUUGACAUGGCAGGAAUCCUGAAGAGAUUUGGGAGUGCUCGAAAGAGAACCUGCACACAGGUGCUGCAUGGCUGUCGUCAGCUCGUGUCGUGAGAUGUUGGGUUAAGUCCCGUAACGAGCGCAACCCUUAUCUUUAAUUGCCAGCAUUCAGUUUGGGCACUUUAAAGAGACUGCCGGUGUUAAACCGGAGGAAGGUGGGAUGACGUCAAGUCCUCAUGGCCUUUAUGCUUAGGGCUACACACGUGCUACAAUGGGUGGUACAAAGAGAAGCCAACUCGCGAGAGCGCGCCAAUCUCAAAAAGCCAUCCUCAGUUCGGAUUGGAGUCUGCAACUCGACUCCAUGAAGUUGGAAUCGCUAGUAAUCGCGGAUCAGCAUGCCGCGGUGGAUACGUUCCCGGGCCUU
rnacentral:rRNA from 1 species